UCAGGAUGAACGCUAGCGACAGGCCUAACACAUGCAAGUCGAGGGGCAGCGACAAGGAGCAAUCUGAGGUGGCGACCGGCGCACGGGUGAGUAACACGUAUGCAACCUGCCUGUAAGCGGGGAAUAACCCGUUGAAAGACGGACUAAUACCGCAUAAUACUAAAUUACUGCAUGGUAAUUUAUUUAAACAUUUAUGGCUUACAGAUGGGCAUGCGCAUGAUUAGCGUAGUUGGAGAGGUAACGGCUCCCCAAGGCAACGAUCAUUAGGGGUUCUGAGAGGAAGGUCCCCCCACACUGGUACUGAGACACGGACCAGACUCCUACGGGAGGCAGCAGUGAGGAAUAUUGGUCAAUGGACGAGAGUCUGAACCAGCCAAGUCGCGUGCAGGAAGAAUUGUCCUAUGGAUUGUAAACUGCUUUUGCAGGGGAAUAAAGUGCAUCACGUGUGAUGUUUUGUAUGUACUCUGCGAAUAAGGAUCGGCUAACUCCGUGCCAGCCGCCGC
rnacentral:rRNA from 1 species